rnacentral:misc_RNA from 1 species
AUGGAGAAUGGUUUCCAUAUCUGGUCCUUUCACGGGAAGCUGCUGUACAAGAUUUCCAAGGACCACUUCUUUCAGUUCAUGUGGCGACCACGACCACCUUCGCUGCUGACCCCUGAGAAGGAGGAGGAGAUCUCUAAGAACUUGAAAAAGUACAGUAAGAAGUAUGAGGCGGAGGACCAGGACGUGUCAGCGCAGGUGAGCGAGCAGGAGAGGCAGCGGAGAAGGGGG